rnacentral:rRNA from 1 species
AUACGUAGGUGGCAAGCGUUGUCCGGAAUUAUUGGGCGUAAAGCGCGCGCAGGCGGUCCUUUAAGUAUGAUGUGAAAGCCCACGGCUCAACCGUGGUGGGUCAUUGGUAACUGGGGGACUUGAGUGCAGAAGAGGAAAGUGGAAUUCCAAGUGUAGCGGUGAAAUGCGUAGAGAUUUGGAGGAACACCAGUGGCGAAGGCGACUUUCUGGUCUGUAACUGACGCUGAGGCGCGAAAGCGUGGGGAGCAAACAGGAUUAGAUACCCUGGUAGUCCACGCCGUAAACGAUGAGUGCUAAGUGUUAGGGGGUUUCCGCCCCUUAGUGCUGCAGCUAACGCAUUAAGCACUCCGCCUGGGGAGUACGGUCGCAAGACUGAAACUCAAAGGAAUUGACGGGG